rnacentral:rRNA from 1 species
AAACCAACAGGGAUUGCCUCAGUAACGGCGAGUGAAGCGGCAAAAGCUCAAAUUUGAAAUCUGGCGGCACUUGUGGUCGCCCGAGUUGUAAUUUGAAGAACGGUUCUUGGAGAGGCGCCUUGUCUAUGUUCCUUGGAACAGGACGUCGCAGAGGGUGAGAAUCCCGUAUGGCGAGGUGUGCUGAUCCGUGUAAGGGCCGUUCGACGAGUCGAGUUGUUUGGGAAUGCAGCUCUAAGUGGGUGGUAAAUUCCAUCUAAAGCUAAAUAUUGGCGAGAGACCGAUAGCGAACAAGUACAGUGAUGGAAAGAUGAAAAGAACUUUGAAAAGAGAGUGAAAAAGUACGUGAAAUUGUUGAAAGGGAAGGUUAUUAGAUCAGACUUGGGCGGUUGCCAUAGCGGUCCCCUUGUGGGGCUGUUCACUGGCGGCUGUCUGGGCCAGCAUCGGUUGGGGUGGCAGGAGAAAGCAUUGGGAACGUGGCUCUGCCUCGGCAGAGUGUUUAUAGCCCUUUGUAAUACUGCCUAGCUCGACCGAGGACUGCGGCCUUUCUGGGCCUAGGAUGCUGGCGUAAUGAUCUAAUAUCGC